rnacentral:rRNA from 1 species
AGUGAACGCUGGCGGUAGGCCUAACACAUGCAAGUCGAACGGCAGCACAGUAAGAGCUUGCUCUUACGGGUGGCGAGUGGCGGACGGGUGAGGAAUACAUCGGAAUCUACUUUUUCGUGGGGGAUAACGUAGGGAAACUUACGCUAAUACCGCAUACGACCUACGGGUGAAAGCAGGGGAUCUUCGGACCUUGCGCGAUUGAAUGCGCCGAUGUCGGAUUAGCUAGUUGGCGGGGUAAAGGCCCACCAAGGCGACGAUCCGUAGCUGGUCUGAGAGGAUGAUCAGCCACACUGGAACUGAGACACGGUCCAGACGCCUACGGGAGGCAGCAGUGGGGAAUAUUGGACAAAGGGCGCAAGCCUGAUCCAGCCAUACCGCGUGGGUGAAGAAGGCCUUCGGGUUGUAAAGCCCUUUUGUUGGGAAAGAAAAGCAGCAGGUUAAUACCCCGCUGUUCUGACGGUACCCAAAGAAUAAGCACCGGCUAACUUCGUG